ensembl:lncRNA
GAAAAAUUAAAGGUCAAAAAGAGCCACCUAAUACAUUCCUUGGCUAAGUUUUGAGAACACUGGAAAGUGCUCAUCCUGUAAAAACUCCAACUCUGCCCAAUUUCCGUUUUCCGCGUUUUCUUUCUGGGCACUCCCACGUGAUCCUCCUCAGCCCUGAGUGAUCUGGGUUCCACCACACAGAGCACCGGAAGCGCGAGCUGCCACUCCACGCUGUGCGGAGCAUCCUACAGGAUUAGUCUGAAGCUGUCCUGUUAAGUGUUUUUUGUAGGUGGCGCUGUUGUUUAUCUAUGAUAAACAUUAUUCUAGUGACACAGAUGGGAGUUUUACUUAUUUUACAUAUGUUUCCAAAGUUAGCUUCAGACUCUUUCUUUUUUCUUUUCUUUUCUUUUUUGGUGUUUGUUGCAAAUUUUGCUGGAGUUACCAUUCCACUUUGCCUGUUUUCCCACAGUUGUUUUCAGAUUUUCAGAUAAACGACUUUCAUUUACUUCUGCUUUGAGGCUCUUAGUACAGUGUUUUAAGUGUUAUUUACACCAGAACGGCAAGCUAGCUGGUGUUGCCUUUUACUGAUUCACCCAUAGUCUCCUUUGUGGGGGAUCUGGUGGGUUCCCCACUGCAACUCUUUGGGCCCACACGCCAGCACCAGAGGGGCGCAGCCACGGGCCCAGGCUGGAUGUGCCCGAGCUGUCCUAGCUCCCUUUCCUGUUCCUGGGGCUUUAAAUUACACUUUUACCCCAAGGAAAGGCCCCUGGUUCCAACCACGAGAUGUGAUUAUUCCGGAAGGCUCUGAGGACUCCAAAGAAUUGUAAUUAAAACAUUCCUUUUCAGAUAAUUGAAAGGUGGUGGCAGAGACCCAGGAGUUAAACACUUUUUAGAGCACAUUUAUCUGUACACAGUUUCCUCUUUAAAUCUCUACGCUUUGCCCGUGAGUCCUUCUUUUCUGGAUGACCGAGAGCAAUUCCAGUAAGCGUCUAAAGCGGUCGGUUUGGAUCCACCUGAGGAUCUUUGGGAGCCAUCAGUCCAUCCCACGGAGCAACACGGCACCUGCUCCGUUCUGCCCCAGCGGGUCCCGCCUGCCCUGGGCCCACGUGGCCACCAGGAGCGAUCGCUGCUAAAUGCAGAGCUUGUACCUUUCUUGCUACCUUUUCUCCAAGGAUGAGGAAGAAACUUCUCUGUGCAUCCGCCCUGUUCCUGCCUCGAUUGAUAGCACUCGCCACACUGCUUUGUCAUUACCUUGGUGUCUCCCAUUUCCCUGGGCCGCACGGGCACACUCAAGGCUCACAGUGGCACCACUCUCCGUGGAAUUACUGCUUCUCUAAAGCCUUCCUUAUCCUCCCUUGCACCCUUGGCUCUGAUUAUGCUUUGCCUCUGCAGUCUUCAAAAUGUUCUUGCUGUAUGGUCACCGGCUUUUUGUUCCUGCCCCUCUCAGCAGCCGAAAGUGGCAGUUCUGCCACCUUCAGUCCCUGUCCAGUGUCUGGCAUAUAAUAGGCUCUCAAUAAAUAUGAUUGGCCAAAGGAAAAAGUUCUGGUAUUAUCUUUGUUAUUUUUUUUCUCUUUUUUGCUCCAGAUGUCACCACUGGAGUAACUGGGUCGAGGACAGACUUUCACCCCAAGUUAUCUCAGCUUGCUGUGUGGACUGCUGGAAUACCGCCCCAGAGCAAUAACUGUGGGGGGCAGCAUCAGCCCUCGUGUCAGAGUGCAGCCUGUGAAUCUCGACAUCACUUAAAGGCAAGUGUUCUUCCCUCCUCGGAUACUUC